rnacentral:tRNA from 1 species
GAGGGUAUAGCUCAGUGGUAGAGCAUGUGUUUAGCAUGCACAAGUCCUGGAGGUUCAGUCCCCAGUACCUCCA